CGUUCUGUUAGUUGCGAUUACAUGUUAUGUGAACGAGGUUGAUAUUUAUAUUCGGAAGAAAGUAUUCUUGAAUAAUAUUACUGUUUGAUUUAUACAUUCAUAAGAUUAAUUAAAAGAUUAAAGACGAUUUUCUCGUGAAAUUAUUGAACAAACGUAUCUUUCUCCUAGAUCAUUAAAUUUACUUCUAUAUUAUCUAUAAUACAGUGUAGAAAGUGCUAUUUAAUAAGAAGAAGAUACUACAGAACUUAUCUUAUUAUUAAAAAAGUUGUUAGCAAAGUUAGGAUUUGAAGUUCAUUCAAUUCAUCAACAACACCCUUCUACAUCUUCAAGUUUCUGAAAAGAAGACUAGUGGAAUCUAAUGAAAUGUGUUCAAAUAAGACAGCAUAAUUGAUAAAUAUAUUGAUAUAAUUAUAAAUCUGAGUGUUCAUAAUUUGAAAUUGUAUAAGCUGUGAGCAAUAUUUUAAAUUAGAUAAAUACAAGGGUAAUGAGAAGAAUGGAUACACGACUUCGAUGGAGGAAAGAAAACCUGUUUCUUGAUGGAAAGAUUAUUGAGGAUUGUCUCCCAACCAGCACCAUUUAUGAACUAUUACAUUCUCAUGGUCAAGGCAUAAGGUCAAGGCAUACGAAUGUAACCUAAAUGUUAUCAAAAAAGCUGCUUGACAAUCUUCUUCUAUAUAAUAUCAAUGGAGAACAAGCUGCUUCCAAAUUUUUCAAGCGAUUGGUGUAAAUAUGUAAUAGUUGAAGCAAAGCUUUAUAUACAAGAAUUCUUUACCUGAGCCUGUUACAUGGACUGUAAGACCACUUUACAGAGUUUUUACUGAAAAGUAAAUUUUUAUUUAAACUAUGUUUUACUCACAAUUUCCGAAAAGCUUUAUUUUUUUUAACAUAUGAUUCGUUUUAUCAGCAACUAUUUAGGUUUAUUUUAACUUUUCUAUAGUUCAUUUAUAACAUUUUCUAAUACUAAAUCACUAAAAUUAUAGCGAAAUAGGUAGAAGCGAAGUUAGAAAAUGGAGCAGUAAUUUAUGAAGUAUAUAUAAGUAACGUGCAUAUUUCAUUAAGUUAAAUGUAACAAUUUUUUAAAAAAUGGAUCAUGAAGUUCGCAAAUUUAGCAAUAAUGGGAUAAGUCAUUUGUAAAACUUAGCAUAUUUUAUUAUUUUCUAUUUCGUACUGCUAUUAUCUUUUACUUAUAUUUGGAAUUCGAAAGUUUGUGUAUUUAUUAUUUAUAAUUUCCAAUUGUUUUGAAUAAUAUGAAACGAAAUUGUAAUUAAUAAAUUGCCGUAUUGGAGUUGCAUCUUUUUAGAUAGUUUUUUAUUAGAAAGUUGUUAAUAUGAGCGAUAAAAUGAAUUCAGAAAAUUAUUUAGAAAUGUAUGAUUUUAUUAGUAUAACUCAUAGAAUCAAUCUAAUACUAGAAGCAAAUUAAAAAACUUCAGGUAUAAGGAAAAGAGGAAACAUGAAAAUCAGUGGGUAUGAUAGAGAAGUAGAGAAUAUAAUAUAUAUAUAUAUAUAUAUAUAUAUAUAUAUAUAUAUAUAUAUAUAUAUAUAUAUUUACGUUUACGGAUUGAUCUGGAGAAGUAGAAAUGACAGAAGUGCCGAUAAUAGAGUAUGAACAAGAAAUAGCCUUUGAGAAUAUCAAGAAUCUCUCAACCAUUCAGGAGUUCUACUAUGGUGAAAAUAUAUUCAUUAUAAAACGAACAAGAUUUAUUGGAAAAUUUUUGAUCGAGAAAUCGUUGAGGACAGAUCCUGUUACGAACUGCUUUUAUCUUUUGAUACGUCCAAAAGAAAGGAAGAAUGCUUUAACACAGUGAACUUAUUGAAAAUUUAGUGAGUUGUUUACUUGUGAUCUAAUUAUUAUUUUUAUAUUCUUAUUUCAUCCUGAUUCAACUUAGAGGUUUUCUAUUUUCUUAUGAUAUAUAUUUCUUUGGUAGGCAGUAAAAAAGGAUAACUCAAAUUUAGUAUUUGUUUUAUAGAAAAGCACUUAUAUAAUAUUUGGAGUGUGAUGUUAACCAGACUUUAGAUUGUGUUAUAGAAAUUCAUGACAUAUAUAUUGUCUUAUAGAACUUAAAAAAUAUGUCAUACUGAUUUCAAAACAUUGUUUUUUUUUAAGUAACAUUAUUUUUUCCUAAAUUAUCAGCUUGACUUGGCUUUAUUUGAUCAAAAAUGACCAUCUAAUAUAGCCGAAAUUUGUAAAAUGUCAAAACUAAAGGUGCGAACUUAGUUUUUAUGUAUGUAUUUAUGUUUAUUCGCAAUUUUUUUUCAAAUGAAAUCUGUAAUGAGAGUAAGUCGGCGACUAAAUGAAAUGAAAAUAACAUGAAGUGAAAUGAAAUAAUGAAUAUCAGAUUAAGGUAUAUAGAGAUACAAUGAGAGUUGGAACGCUAAAUUCGUAUUUGUAUUUACCUUCUCAUUUCUCUACUGCAUAAAAGAGAGAUAGUAAGAGAGAGAUGUGAUGGAGGUUCAGUCUAAGAUGGAAUAUAUCCUAAAUAUAUAUAGGAAGAAAAGAAGUGAGAUUGAGCAUUAAAAACACAAGUUGACAUUUUUGUUUUUCUGCAGUGUAAGAGACUUGAAUAUGAAGAACAUGUAAAAAAUAGAGUGAGAGAGAGAAAGAAAUAGAACAUAAUAUAGAGUCAAGCAGUAAAUGAAUAAAUAUUUUGAUUAAUAUUUGUAAUAAAAUGUCAGUAUGUAAGUGGUCAACAUAAGUAAUCAAAUGUCAUGCCCGUAUUGCGUCGGGAUUUAUUCGAUUUACAAUUAUUUUAAUUAAAAUUCUUACUUUUUGUAUUAAUCACUUUAAUACUGAUCAUUAAUAUUACAUAUUGAUAAUUUAUUAAUAUGGAUCAUUAAGUUAUUUAAAUUACUGAUUAAAAAUAUUUAAAAAUAUUCACUCAGUAAAUGGAAACUUUUAGACAAAUUUAUUUAAUCUAAAGAAGUUUCACUUUUAUCAUGUGUUAUGUAUUAAUCGUGUGUACUGCAUUAAAUAAUCAUUCGAGAAAGAAAGAAAUAAAAUAGGGUGUACUAAUUGAGAAUUUACGGAAGAUUUGUCAUUAUGUAUAGAACGUAUUAAAAAUGACGAAUGGAUUACAGUAUACAUCCAAUAAUUGGUAGUUCUUAUUUUAGAAUUGAGAACACUCAAUAAUAUUAUCAAAAAUAUUAUCGAAAGACAGGAAACUUUCAGCGAUAUUCUUUGUCUGUUGUAAGUCAAUUUCAAAAUUUUACUUUAACGAUUCUCCGGUUUAUCGAUGUAGUUUUCAAGUAUUCGAAUGGAAACAUCGAAUAUAUAAAAAAAAUUAACAAAACGCGUAUUCCAAAUAUGAAAGAGGAAAUGUUACGAAGACGAGUAAAACGUUGACUUGUGAGAGAAAUUCUCCGAUCAAAAUUCGUCCUCUUGUAUCGUAAGGAAAUUCGUUGGCUUGUAUGAAAAAUUUUCAAAUAAAAAUUCUGUAAGUAGUACAUCUAAUUCCAGCUUUAUCAUUGAUACGUUAUAUAAAAAGUUUACAAACAUUGAACUGAUAUUAAAAAAAAGAAAACAUCGAUUAUAUAUAUUCAUAAUAAUCGAUCAAAGUGAAUUUUUAUUCAAUAUAAUAAAUAAUAUAAUCUUUUCUCGAAAUAUUUUUCAAAUUGUCUAUAAUAGUUCAUCUUAAAAUGAACGAUUGUUCAUUAGAAUUCAAAACCAAUUUUUUUUCGAUAUGAAGAAAAUUGAACAUGUAUACUAUUUAGAUAAAUGUGAUUAAAAUAUGAUUACCUUUGAUUUUCGUGUUUAUUUGUAAAUGACAACUAGAAAUCAUUUGGAUCAAGAAAAGAAAGAAAGAAACAGAGAGAGUUUCGUUAAUCUUGUUCAGAAUUGUUCAUAGUUGCUCGUAUAUUUCACAUAAAAUGUGAAAUUUUAUUGUCGGUAAAAACACUAUAAAAAAUUUUACUCAUGAAAAUCCUCUCCUCAGCUACUAUUUAUAGACAUAUCAUGAAUUGCAUAUAUUAUUCGCAAUUUAUUAUUGUUGACUAUCAGAAUAAAUAAUUUAAAUUUACUUUUGCAACUUGAUAUUGCAAAUUUACUAUCACAAAUUUAUUCCUAAAUUCAUAAAUUUAUUAAUAAUUGAUGCAUCAUUGAUAUGUAAUUUAUUUUUUAGAUAAUAAAUUUAAUAUUACACAGUAAUACAUAAUAUACACAUAGUAUACAUAGUAAACAUAGUUUACACAGUCAACAUAAUAGUAAUUGAAUUAUUUACUGUAUUUAAGACUGAAUUUUAAUUAUUAGUGAAACGGAGCACGUAAUAAUGACUUAAAGAAGAAAUUAAGAUAAAAAGAAGAAAAGAAAGAAAAAUAAAAAUAAUUUACAAAUAGGAUAAUAA